rnacentral:rRNA from 1 species
UACGUAGGGUGCGAGCGUUAAUCGGAAUUACUGGGCGUAAAGUGUGCGCAGGCGGCCGCGCAAGUCGAGUGUGAAAUCCCCGAGCUUAACUUGGGAAUUGCGCUCGAAACUACGUGGCUGGAGUGUGGCAGAGGAAGGUGGAAUUCCACGUGUAGCGGUGAAAUGCGUAGAUAUGUGGAGGAACACCGAUGGCGAAGGCAGCCUUCUGGGCCAACACUGACGCUCAUGCACGAAAGCGUGGGGAGCGAACAGG